UUCCCCACAGGGCUGAUGGCGGCCGUGACGUUGGACGAGUCCGGGGGCGGCCUCCAGACGCCCGGAGGAGGGCUCAGCCUCGUCUGCAAGGCCUCCGGGUUCACCUUCAGCAGUUACGACAUGGCCUGGGUGCAACAGGAGCCCAGCAAAGGGCUGGAACACGUCGCAAGUAUUAGCAGUGAUGGUAGUGACACAGCAUAUGGGGCGGCGGUGAAGGGCCGUGCCACCAUCUCGAGGGACAACGGGCAGAGCACAGUGAGGCUGCAGCUGAACAACCUCAGGGCUGAGGACACCGCCACCUACUACUGCACGAAAUGUGCUUACAGUAGUGGUUGUGAUUAUGAAGCUGGUGGUAUCGACGCUGCUCCAGGAUUGUGUGAUGUCCUCCAACGCCCAGAUGGACGGAUCAGAACUCCACUUCUUUGUCCCAGCACACAGCUCUGCAUCCCAGGGGGAACCUUCCCGAAGCAGAUGAACUCGUGUCCCUGUGCCGUCCAUGUCACCAGCAUAGUAAACACAGUAAGCACACCACAAUCGUGA